rnacentral:rRNA from 1 species
CGAAUGCUGACAUAAGUAACGAUAAAGCGGGUGAAAAGCCCGCUCGCCGGAAGACCAAGGGUUCCUGUCCAACGUUAAUCGGGGCAGGGUGAGUCGACCCCUAAGGCGAGGCCGAAAGGCGUAGUCGAUGGGAAACAGGUUAAUAUUCCUGUACUUGGUGUUACUGCGAAGGGGGGACGGAGAAGGCUAUGUUGGCCGGGCGACGGUUGUCCCGGUUUAAGCGUGUAGGCUGGUUUUCCAGGCAAAUCCGGAAAAUCAAGGCUGAGGCGUGAUGACGAGGCACUACGGUGCUGAAGCAACAAAUGCCCUGCUUCCAGGAAAAGCCUCUAAGCAUCAGGUAACAUUAAAUCGUACCCCAAACCGACACAGGUGGUCAGGUAGAGAAUACCAAGGCGCUUGAGAGAACUCGGGUGAAGGAACUAGGCAAAAUGGUGCCGUAACUUCGGGAGAAGGCACGCUGAUAUGUAGGUGAAGUCCCUCGCGGAUGGAGCUGAAAUCAGUCGAAGAUACCAGCUGGCUGCAACUGUUUAUUAAAAACACAGCACUGUGCAAACACGAAAGUGGACGUAUACGGUGUGACGCCUGCCCGGUGCCGGAAGGUUAAUUGAUGGGGUUAGCGGUAACGCGAAGCUCUUGAUCGAAGCCCCGGUAAACGGCGGCCGUAACUAUAACGGUCCUAAGGUAGCGAAAUUCCUUGUCGGGUAAGUUCCGACCUGCACGAAUGGCGUAAUGAUGGCCAGGCUGUCUCCACCCGAGACUCAGUGAAAUUGAACUCGCUGUGAAGAUGCAGUGUACCCGCGGCAAGACGGAAAGACCCCGUGAACCUUUACUAUAGCUUGACACUGAACAUUGAGCCUUGAUGUGUAGGAUAGGUGGGAGGCUUUGAAGUGUGGACGCCAGUCUGCAUGGAGCCGACCUUGAAAUACCACCCUUUAAUGUUUGAUGUUCUAACGUUGACCCGUGAUCCGGGUUACGGACAGUGUCUGGUGGGUAGUUUGACUGGGGCGGUCUCCUCCUAAAGAGUAACGGAGGAGCACGAAGGUUGGCUAAUCCUGGUCGGACAUCAGGAGGUUAGUGCAAUGGCAUAAGCCAGCUUGACUGCGAGCGUGACGGCGCGAGCAGGUGCGAAAGCAGGUCAUAGUGAUCCGGUGGUUCUGAAUGGAAGGGCCAUCGCUCAACGGAUAAAAGGUACUCCGGGGAUAACAGGCUGAUACCGCCCAAGAGUUCAUAUCGACGGCGGUGUUUGGCACCUCGAUGUCGGCUCAUCACAUCCUGGGGCUGAAGUAGGUCCCAAGGGUAUGGCUGUUCGCCAUUUAAAGUGGUACGCGAGCUGGGUUUAGAACGUCGUGAGACAGUUCGGUCCCUAUCUGCCGUGGGCGCUGGAGAACUGAGGGGGGCUGCUCCUAGUACGAGAGGACCGGAGUGGACGCAUCACUGGUGUUCGGGUUGUCAUGCCAAUGGCACUGCCCGGUAGCUAAAUGCGGAAGAGAUAAGUGCUGAAAGCAUCUAAGCACGAAACUUGCCCCGAGAUGAGUUCUCCCUGACUCCUUGAGAGUCCUGAAGGAACGUUGA